UAAGGAAAUUUUCGGGAUGAAGAAAUUUCAACCAGUUUUGGAACUGUUACGACAAAAAAGCAGUGAUGAAUUACAGGAAGCUUUUUCUUCAACUGAUACGGCUAAAAGGAUAGAUUUUGUAACCUUCAGUGCGCUACUGAAAACAAAGUUGCAACUGAAUGUACCAGAAAAUGAAGUUAAGAAGUUAUUUUUCCAAAUCGACCGCUACUCUCGGGAUAGCGUUACGCUUGAAAACAUAAAUAAAUAUCUUGAAUAUUACGAAGAAGUUCGGUUACUGCAACAGGAUGGACCAUUUGAACCAACUCCAACAACAUAUUCCGCAGUGAGGUGCCAGGAUGCUGUUGUAGAAUGGACAUUGUUCCCAGAGCUGCAAGAUGUACCUCAUGAUCUAUCCGGCCAUUAUGUAUCGCUCAGUCGGACCGGGCUGUUAACAUUUUACACAAGAAGUAUGGAGAAACGCUUUGAGAAGUCUAUAGAAACUCUUGAGGAUGGAGGCAAAUUAAGCACGUGGGCAACUGCACUUGCAUGCAUACCGAGAAAAAAGUUGGUAGCAGUAUCUACGACAUCAGGAGACAUACGGUUCUUUCAAGCCACCAUGUACAAAUUUGAACAUAAAUUCUCCAUUGCAUGGUUACCUUCCAUCGUUGUGAGUCUAGAUUGUUAUAUGUCGGAGAAGCUAGUAUGCGGUGAUUUUUCUGGGCAUGCUUUUGUUUUAAAUAUGAGUUCUGAUUUCUUUUCAAAGCUGCACAGGAAAGCCCUUCACCUCGGACCAUACAUCAUCGCUUUCGACACUAUACAGAAAGGAAAGGUAAAGGGAUUACAAUGCCAGUAUUCCGCAAAAAACCACUUUACACCCAUACAAAAGGUCCAGUAUAUUCCUAAUCUCUGCGCUGUCAUUUCCUGUUCCGUACACACAAAAAGAGCCAUGCUGAUUCAUCACUUGGAUCGGAAUGAAAGUCUUAGUUUUCAGUCACCAGGUGGCAUCAACUCUUUCGCAUACUGUGCGAGACUUAACUGUGUUGCCACCGGAGGAGUUGAUCAUUCAGUGAUGAUAUGGAAUCCUUCUUACAACACCGUGCAUAAUGAAUCACUUCCGGGUCAUAUGAGUUCUGUUACCCAUGUUUUGGUGGAUGAGAAACGUCUUUUUCUAGUAUCCGUGGACAGAGAGAGAAAUUUGCGUGUUUGGGAUUUACUCAGGCCAACGUGCCUUCAACAUUUUAGAUUCAAGGAUGUCGAAAUUCCUGGUAGACAUCCCUUCUGUUCGGCAUUCCUGGACACAGAGAUGGGAAAGUUGUUCUUGACCACUAACCGGAUAGCUGUACUGGAAAGUCGUCAGACAUCUUUGCGUCUGACAACGCACCCAGGGAGCGAAUUUAUAAUAUUCGUUGCUUACAAUCAGAUCUUCGACUGCAUAAUCACAGUGGGAAACGUAUUUGUGGUCGCUCUCUGGGACCCUGAAUCCGGAUCACUAAUGUUCGAAUUCACUGAUAAUCACUCGGAAAUAGAUUAUGAUAUUUUUGAGAAUAAUGUGGACAUCAUGGCUGCUGGCCUUGAAUCGUCACAGCGACGUCUGAUAACAGCAGAUCGAAAUGGCAAAAUUAAGGUUUGGAAUUUCCAUUUGGGACUUUGUCUUCGAGAAUUUCAUGCAAGAUUUACCAUACUAUCUCUGUCUUUCAUCGGCUUUCAGAUUUUUGCAGGUGGUUUUUCUGGAACCUUAAGCGUUUUCUACGACAAUGGAAUGGAGGAUGUGGAAUCCAGCGACUGGGAGAGACUUCAUUCAGGUGCUAUCAUAAGCAUUGAUUAUUAUGGUCGUAAUCUUGUGGCUACAGCUUCCUCUGACGGAGAUAAUAAUUUGGUUGAGAAAAAGCGCAGAUCCCAGGUUGAGAAUGAAAGAUUCUCCAACUGCCAGUAAUGUCGUAGCAGGUCAACAAAACGAAGAAUUCCUUCCUAUGACAGUAGUGGAACAACGUCGGCAAUGCAGUAUCAGCCAAAUCCUUUUUCUUCAAGCUCGUGACAUGGACGAUAACACUGGGAAUCUGGUAUCGUGUGGCAUGGAUGGUCGGAUACGAUUUUGGAAUAUCGUACAUACAGCCAAAGUAAACAAAAGUAAACUUCUAUCCAAGUUUCGCGCUGUUCAGACAAUGUGAUGGAGUUUCCUGCAUAGCAACGGAUGACCAGAAUACAGUGCUUUUAAUGGGCGAUACUUUGGGUUACAUUCGGAUCUAUGAACUCGAAGAAUAUUAUUCAGCCUAUGGUUCACAGCUUCCAGUUUGUCGAAAACCAGAAUCCCACCAUUUUCUCAAGUAUCCUUUUUUGCGGCUUCAAGGAUCAAU